GACGAACGCUGGCGGCGUGCCUAACACAUGCAAGUCGAGCGGGGAUGUAUGGAGGAAGUUUUCGGAUGGAAUCGAUACAUUCUAGCGGCGGACGGGUGAGUAACGCGUGAGCAACCUGCCUUUCACAGGGGGAUAACGGAUCGAAAGAUUCACUAAUACCGCAUGAGACCACGAUACCGAGUGGUAUAGGGGUCAAAGGAGCAAUCCGGUGAAAGAUGGGAUCGCGUCCGAUUAGGUAGUUGGUGGGGUAAUGGCUCACCAAGCCAAUGAUCGGUAGCCGACCUGAGAGGGGUAUCGGACCCACUGGAGAUGAGGGACGGUCGAGACUCCUACGGGAGGCAGCAGUGGGGAAUAUUGGGCAAUGGGGGAAACCCUGACCCAGCAACGCCGCGUGAGGGAAGUAGGUUUUCGGAUUGUAAACCUCUGUCCUUGGUGAAGAGCAGAAGACGGUAGCCAAGGAGGAAGCCCCGGCUAACUACGUGCCAGCCGCCGCCGUAA
rnacentral:rRNA from 1 species